CGAACGAGAAAGUUUCCUUCGGGGAGCUAGUAAAGUGGCGCAAGGGUGAGUAACACGUGAAUAAUCUGCCUACGAAUUCGGGAUAACUCGGCGAAAGUUGUGCUAAUACCGGAUAAGACCACACUCCCAAUGGAGCGUGGCCAAAGGAGUCUCAAACUCCGUUUGUAGAUGAGUUCGCGGACCAUUAGCUUGUUGGCGGGAUAACAGCCCACCAAGGCGACGAUGGUUAGCCGGCCUGAGAGGGCGAUCGGCCACACUGGAACUGAGACACGGUCCAGACUCCUACGGGAGGCAGCAGUGGGGAAUAUUGCGCAAUGGGCGAAAGCCUGACGCAGCAAUGCCGCGUGAGGGAUGAAGGCUUUUGGGUCGUAAACCUCUGUCGGAUGGGAAGAAUAAUGACGGUACCAUCAGAGGAAGCCCCGGCUAACUCCGUGCCAGCAGCCGCGGUAAUACGGGGGGGGCAAGCGUUGUUCGGAAUUAUUGGGCGUAAAGAGUAUGUAGGCGGCUUGAUAAGUCAAGCGUGUAAGCCCACGGCUCAACCGUGGAAUUGCGUUUGAAACUAUUAGGCUUGAGUACAGGAGAGGAAGGCGGAAUUCCCAGUGUAGCGGUGAAAUGCAUUGAUAUUGGGAGGAACACCGGUGGCGAAGGCGGCCUUCUGGUCUGUUACUGACGCUGAGAUACGAAAGCCAGGGGAGCAAAGGGGAUUAGAUACCCCCGUAGUCCUGGCCGUAAACGAUGGGCACUAGGUGGAGGAGGUAUCGAUCCCUUCUCUGUCGCAGCUAACGCAUUAAGUGCCCCGCCUGGGGA
rnacentral:rRNA from 1 species